UGAGACACAAAGAAUUCUACUUUCUUCGAAGAAAUCAAAAAGCUCUUCCUUAAACACGGACGCAAAUUUAUUUUCAAACAAUAAAUCAAUUUCCUCUCACUUUCAAUAAAAUAAAUUAAGGCACUUUUACUGACGAACAAAAACAAAUCUAGUUACCUAGUAUGGUUUAAAAAUGAAGAACGCCAGCCAUUCUCACAUAAGAUGAAUAUCCCGAUAACCAAACAUUCAUAUUUAAUGUUUGUGCUAAUUUGUCAACUCUAUAUAAGAAAGUUAGCUGACUCUUCAAGACAAAAUGUGUCAUCAAAGUAACUUUUUCUUUCAAAAUAAUAUAUUGAGACAUAUUUACUUGCUUGCUUACAUUCCAAAUUGGGACACCGUAAAAAUUUAUUUUUCAAUGAAAUGAAAGAAGCAUGAAACUUAAGCGAUACCAAAAAUUUUUUACUUGAAGUCAGAAGAUCCAGCCACAUUUUUUUUUAAGUUAAAACUACUGGACGGACACAAAGAAUUCAAUUAUCUCCGAAAAAAUCGAAAACCAUUUUCGUGGGUUCAAAAUGAAGAACGAUAACCUUUCUCACAUAAGAUAUAUAUUUCGAUAACCAAACAUUCAUGUUUUAUGUCUGCGUUAAUUUCUCAACUCUGUGAGAAAGUUUGUCAUCUCUUCAAGAAAAAGUGUGACAUCAAAGAAAUUUUUUCUUUCAAACUAAUAUAGUGGAACAUAUUUACUUGCUUGCUCACUUUUCAAACUGGGACAUUGUAAAAAAUCAUUUUUAAACGAAAGAAGCAAGAAACUUAAAAAGAUAGAAAAAAAUAUUUACUUGCAAUUAGAAGAUCCAGUUGUUUUUGUUUUAAGUUCAAACUAUCAGUGAGACACAAGGAAUUUUCCUUUCUCUGAAGAAAUUGAAAAGUUCGUCCUUAGACACGGACGCAAAUUUAUUUUCAAACAAUAAAUCAAUUUGCUCUCACUUUUACUAAAAUAAAUUAAGGCACUUUUACUAACGAACAAAAUAAAUCUAGUUACGUGAUGUGGCUUCAAAAUGAAAAACAACACUUUUCACAUAAGAUGAAUAUCCCUAUAACCAAACAUUCAUGUUUUAGGUCUACGCUAAUUUAUCAACACUAUAUGAGAAAGUUAGCCGACUCUUCAAGAUAAAGUGUGUUAUCAAAGUAACUUUUUCUUUCAAACUAAUAUAUUGAGACAUAUUUACUAACUUGUUUACGUUCCAAAUUGGGACACCGUAAAAAUUUAGUUUUCAAUGAAAGAAGCAAGAAACUUAGAGCAACACUAAAAAAUAUUUACUUGAAGUCAAAAGAUCCAAUCACAUUUUUUUUUAGUUCAAAGUACCGAACGGACACAAAGAAUUCAAUUGUCUCCGAAAAAAUCGAAAACCUUUUCCGUGGGUUCAAAAUGAAGAACUACAACUGUUCUCAGAUAAGAUAAAUAUCCCGAUAACCAAGCAUCCAUGUUUUACGUCUGCGCUAAUUUGCUAACUCUAUGUGAGAAAAUUUGCCGACUCCUCAAGAGAAAGUGUGUCAUCAAAGUAACUUUUUCUUUCAAACUAAUGUAUAGGAUCAUAUUUACUUGCUUGCUCACUUUUCAAACCGGGACAUUGUAAAAAAUCAUUUUUAAACGAAAGAAGCAAGAAACUUAAAACAAUACAAAAAAAUAUUUACUUGCAAUUAGAAAAUCCAGCUAUUUUUAUUUUAAGCUCAAACUACCAGUGAGACACAAGGAAUUCUACUUUCUCCGAAGAAAUCGAAAAGUUCUUCCUUAAACACGGAUACAAAUUUAUUUUCAAACAAUAAAUCAAUUUCCUCUCACUUUCAAUAAAAUAAAUUAAGGCACUUUUACUGAUGAACAAAAACAAAUCUAGUUACCUGAUGUGGCUUCAAAAUGAAGAACGACAACUAUUCUCACAUAAGAUGAAUAUCUCGAUAACAAAACAUCCAUGUUUUAUGUUUGAGCUAAUUUGUCAACUCUAUGUGAUAAAGUUGGACGACUCUUCAAGACAAAGUGUGUCAUCAAAGUAACUUUUUCU
rnacentral:lncRNA from 1 species